rnacentral:rRNA from 1 species
GACGAACGCUGGCGGCGUGCCUAAUACAUGCAAGUAGGACGCAGUUUCGAACGGGUGAGUAAAACGUAGGUAACUACCUAUAAGAGGGGGAUAACUAUUGGAAACGAUAGCUAAUACCGCAUACUAGUAGAUGGCCCUGCGUUGUAUUAGCUAGUAGGUAGGGUAAUGGUCUACGGAGGCAACGAUACAUAGCCGACCUGCGAGGGUUUGCGGCCACAAUGUGAUUGAGACACGGCCCAGACGCCGACGGGCGUGAGCAGACGUGAUUCUUCGGCAAUGGGGGGGACACUGACCGUGCAACUCAGCGUGAGUGAAGAAGUUUUGCGGAUCGUAGAGCUCUGUUGUUAAGGAAGCGGUACUUAACCAGAAAGGGGCGGCUAACGACGUGCCAGCAGAGGCGGUAAGUU